AAAAGUUGGAUGACAUCAAAAAGUGUCACUUAUUUAGUUUUGAUUGCUGGUUUGUGAUAAAUAAAUUUUCACGGAAUAAAAACGGCUGUGAAUGAAUUCCAGUGUCCGAUGGACCGAAAAAAAAAUGUCACGCCAAGUGUUGACCAGGACAACAGCAGUAAAAUCAGAAAAUGCAUAACCGCAAUCUGCAGCAGCUGGUUGGACCAAUCGUCGAAUAUUUGAUUCUCGAUAUAAAGGCCCGGAAGGCGAUUACGUGAGUCCUGCGAUUCGCUGGUUGAUAAGGCCUUCGCAGAAAUCCACAGCCGCUUUGUCGUGAUGUCAACAACCUGAUUGAAUGCAGUUCCAUUCGCAGUUGUUCCGUGGGUUGUUCAAAUAACGUCCAGAGAUUCCAGAGUACCCCCCAAACCCUUCCCCUUUUCAUUGACGUAGUUUUUGAACGAAACCUCCCUGGCAAAGUACUUCAGACCCAUUUAGACCUAUUAUCAAGUUUAAUUCUGGUAAUGUGAAAAAUGUGAGCGACGAGAUUAAUAAAAAUAAAUUGAGUUCGUUUUUUUUUAUAACAA